rnacentral:rRNA from 1 species
UACGGGGGGGGCAAGCGUUGUUCGGAAUUACUGGGCGUAAAGGGCUGGUAGGCGGCCAACUAAGUCCGACGUGAAAUCCCAAGGCUUAACCUUGGAACUGCGUCGGAUACUGGAUGGCUUGAAUUCGGGAGAGGGAUGCGGAAUUCCAGGUGUAGCGGUGAAAUGCGCAGAUAUCAGGAGGAGCACCAAUGGCGAAGGCAGCUCGCUGGGACGUGACUGACGCUGAGACGCGAAAGCGUGGGGAGCAAACAGG